ensembl:lncRNA
AGCUCUGGAUAAAUGAGGUGUUAUUUGAUGAUUUGUUUGCUAAUUUAAAGUAUGAAUGCUAACGUGUGUGUGUGUGUGUGUGUGUGUGUGUGUGUGUGUGUGUGUGUGUGUGUGUGUGCAGUUUACUGAGUGGACUGACUAACCGUGCGGUGUGGAUCGCUCCGAACCUGCAGGACUGUCCCACUGUGGUGAACAAACUCUCCGACCUUGAGCACAUCACAGUCACUAACGGUGAACAUCUCUCACUUGUAAAUCAUAACGCAGUGCAGAAUAAACCUGAUUCGCUUCCUAUCAGUGACCUUCAGUUAAAGUGUACACUAAAGGACGGAUGGAGAAAUCAUUCGCAAUACUGAGUUAUUUCAGGUCUUUUAUUUAUACUGUGCUAGGUAGCUUGAUGGUGAACAGUGGAGAGUAAGAGCGCAGUGCAUGAGUCGGUAUGAUGAGCGUGUCUCUCUGCAGACACGGCGCUGGACGUGCUAAACAUAAUCGAGGACAUAAUGAAAGAAAGCAAGUCCCUGGACGAGCAAGACCUGUGGCUGGUGCUGAACACACUGGAGGUCGUGCUGAAUGUCAGCAUCAUGACCUUUGACCUCGCACAGGUCAUCAUCAACAUCACAUCAGACAUCCUGAACUCACAGAGCGACCUUCAUCCCUUCACUAACUAUAUUCUGAACAUCACAGAAAAGGUGGGAAACAGAAUGUCCAAGCUGAAUAACGGAUCUGUCAGCGUGGUGGCCGCAGCGUUAGCUCUGGCUGUGGUCGACGUCAAUACAGAGAAUUUCUACAAUCUGAC